rnacentral:rRNA from 1 species
ACUGCUCAGUAACACGUGGAUAACCUGCCCAAGGGUCUGGGAUAACCCCGGGAAACUGGGGAUAAUACCGGAUGGAUCACUAGUGCUGGAAUGCUUGGUGGUUUAAAGGUAACGCCUUUGGAUGGGUCUGCGGCGGAUUAGGUUGACGCCGGUGUAACGUACCGGCGUGCCUGUAAUCCGUACGGGUUGUGGGAGCAAGAGCCCGGAGAUGGAUUCUGAGACACGAAUCCAGGCCCUACGGGGCGCAGCAGGCGCGAAAACUCUACAAUGCAGGCAACUGCGAUAGGGGGACAUCGAGUGGCAUCCACCUUGGGUGCCUGUCCAACCGUCUAAAAAACGGUUGUUAGCAAGGGCCGGGUAAGACCGGUGCCAGCCGCCGCGGUAAUACCGGCGGCUCGAGUGGUGGCCGAUAUUAUUGAGUCUAAAGGGUCCGUAGCCGGCUUUGCAAGUCCCCUGGGAAAUCCAGCGGCUUAACCGUUGGGCUUUCAUGGGAUACUACAUUGCUUGGGACUGGGAGAGGUAGGAGGUACUCGGGGGGUAGGGGUGAAAUCCUGUAAUCCUCCGGGGACCACCGGUGGCGAAGGCGUCCUACCAGAACAGGUCCGACGGUGAGGGACGAAAGCUAGGGGCACGAACCGGAUUAGAUACCCGGGUAGUCCUAGCCGUAAACGAUGCCCGCUAGGUGUCACGACGGUCGUGAAUCGUCGUGGUGCCGUAGGGAAGCCGCGAAGCGGGCCACUUGGGAAGUACGGCCGCAAGGCUGAAACUUAAAGGAAUUGGCGGGGGAGCAC